rnacentral:rRNA from 1 species
GAUCACUGCUAUUGGGGUUCGACUAAGCCAUGCGAGUCCAGAGUGGUAAUGCACUCGGCAAACGGCUCAGUAACACGUGGGUAAUCUGCCCUCAGGACAGGGAUAACCCCGGAAAACUGGGGAUAAUAUCUGAUAGGUGGAGAAGUCUGGAACGACUCUCCGCUCAAAUGCUCCGGCGCCUGAGGAUGAGCCUGCGACCGAUUAGGUUGUUGGCGGUGUAACGGACCACCAAGCCUGAGAUCGGUACGGGUGUUGAGAGACAGAGCCCGGAGAUGGGGACUGAGACACGGCCCCAGGCCCUACGGGGCGCAGCAGGCGCGAAAACUCCGCAAUACACGAAAGUGUGACGGGGGAACCCCAAGUGCGCUCACGCAAGUGAGUGCUUUUGUGAAGUGUAAAUAGCUUCGCGAAUAAAAGCGGGGUAAGACCGGUGCCAGCCGCCGCGGUAACACCGGCCGCUUGAGUGGUGAUCACUAUUAUUGGGCCUAAAGCGUCCGUAGCCGGUCUGGUAAGUCCUUGGGCAAAUCCUGUCGCUUAACGAUAGGAAUUCUGAGGUUACUGUCAGACUUGAGGUCGAGAGAGGUCGGAGGUACUUCUGGGGUAGCGGUGAAAUGCUAUAAUCCUGGAGGGACCACCAGUGGCGAAAGCGUCCGACCAGAGCGAGCCUGACGGUAAGGGACGAAAGCCAGGGGAGCGAACGGGAUUAGAUACCCCGGUAGUCCUGGCCGUAAACGCUGUGGGCUAGGUGUUGCACCCUCUACGAGGGCAUGCAGUGCCGAAGAGAAGUUGAUAAGCCUACCGCCUGGGAAGUACUAUCGCAAGAUAGAAACUUAAAGGAAUUGGCGGGGGAGCACCACAAGGGGUGAAGUCUGCGGUUC